CUACGGGAUGCAGCAGUGGGGAAUAUUGCACAAUGGGCGAAAGCCUGAUGCAGCGACGCCGCGUGAGCGAAGAAGGUUUUCGGAUCGUAAAGCUCUGUCCUAUGGGAAGAAAAUGACGGUACCAUAGGAGGAAGCCCCGGCUAACUACGUGCCAGCAGCCGCGGUAAUACGUAGGGGGCGAGCGUUGUCCGGAUUUACUGGGCGUAAAGGGUGAGUAGGCGGUAACGUGUGUCAGAUGUGAAAGGCGAGGGCUAAACCCUCGUAAGCAUUUGAAACUGCGUAACUUGAGCGCAGGAGAGGUAAGCGGAAUUCCUAGUGUAGCGGUGAAAUGCGUAGAUAUUAGGAGGAACACCGGUGGCGAAGGCGGCUUACUGGACUGUAACUGACGCUGAGACACGAAAGCGUGGGGAGCAAACAGGAUUAGAUACCCUGGUAGUC
rnacentral:rRNA from 1 species